CACAAACAUGGAUUCAGGAAGUUCUGGAGAUGUGCUGGGGGCUAGUGGAGAUGACCAGCUGGAGAUUUGGCUCCUUGGAGAGACAGUGGUUGGCUAGACCUGAGCUCCAGAGGAAGGUGUUGGCACAGGCUGGAAAAAAUGUCUUCUCCUGACCUGGAGGUGGAAUGUUACUAUGGAAGGAAUCCUGAGGGAAAAAAGAGUUCUCUUGCUCGGCCUGGACAUACAGACGGGAUUCUUGAGAAGAGCUCAUUUUGAGCCCAGCAUUUCUCUAACUAACUUACAGCCCAGCACCCCUCUUCCACUUCACUGCCCCAUCCCUGAUCCCCAAGGGAAACCAUACCAGAUUGGGAGGAUGGCGAUGCUGGUGGGGGAGGGGGAGACAUCUGUAGUGAAGUGACUGUAGAGCACGAGAACAUGAGACAACUCUCCCAUCACUUAGUAACAAGGCCUUCUGUUGGUUACAUUUUAUGUGUCAAUUUGGAGAGGCCGCAGUGCCCAGAGAGUUGGUUAAGUCUUUUCUGGAUGUUUCUGUGAGGGUGUUUUUGGAUCAGAUUUACAUUAAAUCAGUGGGCUGUGAAUAAAGCAGAUUGCCUUCCAUAAUGUGGGUGGGCCUCAUCCAAGCAGUUGAAGGCCUGAAUAGAACAAAAGGCUGACCCUCCUCUGAGUAAGAGGGAAUUCUGCCAGGAGACUGCCUUCAUUUGCAACACUGGCUCUUCCUGGCUUGCUGGCAGAACCUUUACACUCCAACUGCAACUGUUUCCUGAGUCUCCAACCUGCCAGCUUCCCGCUUCAGAUUUUGGACUUGCCAAGCCGCCACAAUGGCAUGAGCAUACUCCUGAAAAUAGAUUUCUUUAUAUAUAUGUAUACCCUAUUCUGUUUUCUGGAGAGCCUUGACUAAUAUAGGCCCAUAUUUCUCUGGCUUCAGGAGGGACACUUGGAACAAAAAGGAAAUAUUGCUCUGAUCUCACCAAAAGGAGACUGAAAGACCGCCAACCAGGGACAGGAGCUUCCUGAGUAGGAGCUGAGGCCUCUGUGCGGCAAUUUAGUGAGAGCAUAGCCGGUCAUCAACUUCUGGUUGGGCAAAGACAACAAGAGACAUGUCCAAGUUCAGCCUCAGGAACCACCUUGGAUGGCAGAAGCUGGCCCUCGAAGCUUCCCUAACAAAUAACAGCAAUUCUCGAGAGUCCUCAUACACACAAGAUAAUGCUUUAGCAGUCAACAGGGGCUCUCAACUCUGAAAUAAAUGACGUCCACUUGGUCA